AGUCUGUUAUGAUGGGACAUCCAGGCAUGCCUCACUACCCACCCAUGGGAAUGCAUCCUAUGGGCCAAAGGCCACCCAACAUGCCUCCAGGAUCUCAUGGAAUGAUGCCUCAAAUGAUGCCCCCAAUGGGAGGACCACAAAUGGGACAGAUGCCUGGAAUGAUGCAGUCAGUGAUGCCCGGAAUGAUGGCACCUCAUAUGUCUCAUGGUCCCAUGCAGCCAACCGGACCGGUA